rnacentral:rRNA from 1 species
UGGGGAAUAUUGCACAAUUGGCGCAAGCCUGAUGCAGCCAUGCCGCGUGUGUGAAGAAGGCCUUCGGGUUGUAAAGUACUUUCAGCGGGGAGGAAGGGAGUAAAGUUAAUACCUUUGCUCAUUGACGUUACCCGCAGAAGAAGCACCGGCUAACUCCGUGCCAGCAGCCGCGGUAAUACGGAGGGUGCAAGCGUUAAUCGGAAUUACUGGGCGUAAAGCGCACGCAGGCGGUUUGUUAAGUCAGAUGUGAAAUCCCCGGGCUCAACCUGGGAACUGCAUCUGAUACUGGCAAGCUUGAGUCUCGUAGAGGGGGGUAGAAUUCCAGGUGUAGCGGUGAAAUGCGUAGAGAUCUGGAGGAAUACCGGUGGCGAAGGCGGCCCCCUGGACGAAGACUGACGCUCAGGUGCGAAAGCGUGGGGAGCAAACAGG